GAGUAGUUAUUUCUGAAUCCAAAAGGGGAAAGAUGACCUUGUCACUGGUGUGAUAUUCUACUCUGAAAACUUUUACAUCCCCUGAGAGGACAGUUCUGCUAUUUCCAUAUAUUAGUAUGUUCCACUUGCCUUGUAUUAAUUUAAACAAAGCAAACAAAAAUGCUGGUUUUCACACUAGUUACAACUGCAACUUUGUCAGGGUUAGGCUAAGUUAAGGGCACAGUUUGUCAAACGUUUCCUCUAAGUAAACGAGACUUGGGCAACCUCUUCCUUACCCUUUUCUCAUUUACUCUUGCCUUCAAGCGACUUUCUUUUUUCUAACACUGUUCACGCACCUGCAACUGGUCUGAGUUAAAAACAGAUGUUUUUAGGUGGAUUACUUAAUUGAAAUCAGUUUCCUGACUCGGUUUAACGUGGGGCUGGACAAAAAAUCACGCUAGCACAAUUUCAGGGAUAACGAGACAGGGAAGAGAGGAGAAAUGUACGGUGGGGAACGCAUAGGCAGGGACUUCUACCAAAAAAUGUUGUCCAACUAUGCCCUGAAAGGCUAAACACUCUUCCAAGCCAGAACUAUUGUUCUAUGUUCAGAUAGCACCUUGCACAAAGGGAUCUUAGUCUCAGAGCUCUCAGGACUCUCACAGCUAUUGCAAUACCAAGAAAUAAUAAGUGUUCCUACAGACUGACACAAUUAACCAAAUUCCACUUGCAGAUCUUCACUGCUGGCAACAUAUGCAGCAUUUUACGUAGUCGAAGUUGGAGACUAGCUCUAUUCCAGAGCUCUGUCUUUGGCUCUAAUGAGGACAUUAAGUUAACCUAUGAAUAAAAUAAUUACUUCCCACAGAGCUUUUUAUAUUUAACUAGAUUUUUUUAAUGUGCUUUGACAUUCUCAGGUAAAAGCAAUAAUAUGUACAAUGUAUUCUUAUAGCAAAAACCUGUACAUUCCUACAUAUUCUCCUCUUUUUUUGCUUCACCUUUUCUAUCACUAUAUUCCUACACAAGACUCAAGAUGCACUGCAAAUGUUUGAAUAAUGCCAACUUGAAAUUAAAAAAUUGUAAAUAAUGUCCUCACUCUUCACUGAGCAAUGUUCUGUGUGUUUAUUUUAAUCUAAUAUUUCCUGGAUAGAAACAGAUUACUCCCCUGAGAAUGCAAAUAUCAAUAGUUUCCCUCCAUAACAAGGGAAGUUUUUCAUGAUUCCCACAAAAAACAGCAGCCUCUUGGUAACAGGGAGAAUGCAUAGGAUACGCACAGAGUAAAAUUUUAGUCUUCACUGCUACUUAUGAGGGUCCAAAUCCCAAGGUGUUAUUCAACCAUGUUCAAAAUUCAGCAUUAAUUUUCCUGUUAUAAGACUGAGGAGAAGAAAAAUAACUCUGGCCAAUUCCUGAAAAUCUUAAAAUCCUGGAAAGCAAACAUAAAUUCUAUUUGUGGAAAACCUGGCUCCCUCUUAAUUUUCCCAUGAGUGGAGAGGAGGGAGGGACUCAUUUGAAAGUCUCCUUGCAGGAAAACCUGCAGAAAAACAAAGUAGAGUUUGCCCCAGACCUCUACAGUGUUCUACCUCCUACCACGUAGUUUUCCUAAAACUUCAUUUCAGCAUUCAUACAAAGUUGUUAUACUGUAACUUUUACCCAUGUUGAUCUGUAUCUGCUGUGUUUAGUUAGAAAGACUCCAUCUAGCACUAGACUUCUGCCCUAGCUGUGAUGAAAUUAUACCUUUCUUGAGACAGAACACCACCGAAGAAAACAAGACUAGUAGCUAUUACCCCAGGUGAAUUAUGUCAGAGCCUUCCACGUAGAAGGGUGGCUGGCCCAGCUAUUCCAGAAUAACUCCUAGUAUAAAUAUUGCAGUAUUCCAGUUUGAAAGUGUCUUUAUUUGCGACUGAUCGUUCUAUUUAGGAAUACCUCUUCUUCUAAGCGGUCCGUUCUGCCAAUAAAUUCUCUUUAGAGUGUUCAUUUAGGAAGGUGUGUAGUAAAAUAGUCUAUAAAUAACCUAAAUAUAAAACCAACCACAGCAGAUAUGAUGUAAUCACCAGAUGAUUCCAGGUAAACAACUUGUUCUUCAUGUAUUUACUAUGAAACUGUUCAAGCUGUAUUAAACUUGGUUACCAAGUCUUUCAUUGUCUCAGUACAGGAUGGAUUGGCCCUAAUGCUGUCCUGCAAAACUAGUAGUUGUGUAACGCUACUGCUAAGGUUAGAACAUCCCUUGGUGUGAAGGUAUCAAUAAAAUCUAAGCAUCUGCCCUUGCAAUACCCUGCAGGUGUUGCAGAUAUUGAAGGGCCACACUUAUAUAUGCCAUUUCCUGUUUUCAAACAAAAGCUUUUGUACAUUUCAGAUCCUGACUGGGACUGCGGACUCCCCUCAGGCAAAAGGAAAUGGAGGUCCACAUCUGGAAGUGGUGGGUCACGGAGACUCGGCAGUUCCUGGGGACUGUCAAACUGAUUACUCGCAGCAAACCAGCCGGAGCGUCUCUGCCUGCUGCUCAGAGCUGCGAGAUCUUGGGGAUGGAAGGCUCUAUAAAAAUAUACCUAUACAGAAGAACGGUUUCAGACUGAGCUGAGAGUUGUGCUGCUACUUGCUUCCUCACGAAUAUUUGAGUCAUGUUCCUCCUGAGCGUACGUGUUAACAAUGCAGCAAGAACAAACAGUAAAUCAAUUCAGCUGCAAAAGCUGCUGUGUGCUCUGCUCAUAUCCUUCCUAGGGCUCGGAAACUAUUCUCAGUGGCUUAGUUCUACUUCUUUAUAGAGAUAUAAAGGAAGACACAAAAAGCUACUGACCUGUUCUGGGAAGAGAGUGCAGAAAGGGCAUUAAUCUGUGAAUUGUUGUCAAAUUCUUUGAGCCAGAUCUCAGGAGCAUGCAAGCACCUGUUGUUUUGAGACAUUUAAUGCAAUGUACCCAGAACUUAGACCACAGUUGAACUCUUUAAGUGAGGUUCUCUUUCAAAAAGCAGAAAAGACAGGCUGUUUAAGUAAUUUUAACUGGUCAGUUGGAGUAGAAGGACGUAUGACUGGAGAAAUUGUAUUGAUGGUAACAUAACUUUUCUGACAGGAAGAAAACCGAGGAGGAGUUAGGACAAAAGUUUUAUUAGGAAGCUGAAAACAGCACAUUACAAAUGCUAAAUGAAAGCAAGCAAAACAGGAGAGAAAGUAACACAGUGAAAGAACAGUCAUUCCUCUUAAA